GCCUCUGCAGCGAGGAGGGCUGAGGGAGGGCGGCUGGGGCUCGGGUGCCGGUGUCCAGGUUUGAGGUUGUCUCUGAGCCUGCAGCCACAAUGCAAGUAUGUAACCAUGCUCACCUCCAGCCCUACACACACUCCCAAAAGUCCCAGGUUUGGGCCCCGACGACGUCUUCUCGUCCACAGUUUGAACAGUUGUGCCUCUGGGAAAGCGAGUGUCCAGCCCUGCCUCCGCUGCAGGCAAGUGGUUGAAAACUAAAAUUCUCUUUAACUUUGAUUUUUAAAACGGAAGAAGGAAAAAAAAAAAAGGCAGAGAUGGGGAAACGUGGGAGACUUGUGAAAGGCACUUGGAGCUGUUCCCAGUUACCACCUCAUCCACAACAGCCACGAGAAAUGAAGCACUAGACCCUUCUUCCACCUGACUGCUCCUAACCACAUACUGCCUUAUCUCAAUGUAUGGAAAAGGGAGUUCUCUGUUUUCUUUGUGGGCUUGUGUCUAAAUGCCAAUCUUUGAGACAUACAUAAAGGAGAAUAAAAUCAUUAGACUAGUUUGCACAUUUAGAGUAUUGUAUCUGGAUUUAUUUAAUAGCCUGUACUCUUUAGUAUUUCCAUUGUCAUCCAGUAUAGGCAACACUUUAGCUACUCUGAGACAGUUUUUACAAACUCCCACACGUCUUUGGCAACUUAUUAAUGCAUGCCAAACUCAUAUUGUGAAGUUAGGGCUUCAUGUUUUAGAACUCCUUUAAGGAAAUGGUCUCUUGAGAGACUAUUUUCCAAGUGCCCCUCACAAAAAAAGGGAGAUGGAUUUGGUUAAUGUAACUUUUGAUAACUUUAAUAGAUAAAAUACAAAAUUGGUACUAGAAAUGUAACUGGGAAUGUCGAAUUAUUUGUUUCUCCUGAGACCCUAUAAAUAUUUUAUCAAUUUUUAAGAUAUGAAGACAUAAAAUGUCUGUUUUACCAUUCUACUGUUAAUAAGGAGAGCACUGGAUACAACACAAGAAACAAUGGUUUCCAGAUUGUGGUCUGAAUUGUGAUCCCUAACUAAAGAGAAACAGUGAGCUUUACCAUUGCCCCGUGUUUUUGCCUUGGCAAACACAAUUCCCAGCUAACUUCAGAGGGAGUGGACAGCCAAAUAAGAGUAGGAUAGUUCCUUACCAUGAAAACAUGUCUGUGUUCCCAUAGUCAGGGAGGCUAGAAUUAGGGAAGUAGAGUCACUGAGAGAAGGAAGAAAGAAAAUCUACAGAAUUUGGACUAGGAGACCUUUGAGUCUUUGGCUCCAUAUGGCUUGUACAGAAUGAAACCCUAGGGAGUUGGCUAGUAACAAUUUCUAGGGAAAAAACAUACCUGGGUUAUUGCAAAAUAAUCCCAGAUAAUUGUUUCAAAGGCUUAGGAGUCAUUGAUUUAAAGUGAUCCCUUCAGUCAGAGAAAACUCAGAUGUAGGACAUUCAGUAGAU
rnacentral:lncRNA from 1 species